AUCAUGACUGCUGGAUUAUAUUUUAAGAGUAUGUUUAGUUUUUUAAGAAACUGCCAAACUGUCUUCCAAAGUGACUAUACCAUUUUGUAUUGCCACCAGCAAU
rnacentral:pre_miRNA from 1 species